rnacentral:rRNA from 1 species
GACGAACGCUGGCGGCGUGCCUAAUACAUGCAAGUAGAACGCUGAAGGAGGAGCUUGCUCUUCUGGAUGAGUUGCGAACGGGUGAGUAACGCGUAGGUAACCUGCCUGGUAGCGGGGGAUAACUAUUGGAAACGCUAGCUAAUACCGCAUAACAGUAGAUGUUGCAUGACAUUUGCUUAAAAGGUGCAAUUGCACCACUACUAGAUGGACCUGCGUUGUAUUAGCUAGUUGGUGGGGUAACGGCUCACCAAAGCGACGAUACAUAGCCGACCUGAGAGGGGGAUCGGCCACACUGGGACUGAGACACGGCCCAGACUCCUACGGGAGGCAACAGUAGGGAAUCUUCGGCAAUGGACGGAAGUCUGACCGAGCAACGCCGCGUGAGUGAAGAAGGUUUUCGGAUCGUAAAGCUCUGUUGUAAGAGAAGAACGAGUGUGAGAGUGGAAAGUUCACACUGUGACGGUAUCUUACCAGAAAGGGACGGCUAACUACGUG